AUGGGGAGGGACGGAGCUGGGGCAUUGGGGUGCCCGCAGUGUGGGGAGGGACGGAGCUGGGGUGCGGGGGCUGUGGCACGCCGCGCUGCGUGCUCGGCCCAUGCCAGGCCGUACACAGGGUUUAUGGCCGUUCCUCGCAGCUCGCUGGGUUUUGGGAAGAGGCUUUAUCAGCUCCGGUCCAGAGAGCAAGGGCUGAGCUGGGCGAAGGCUGGGCCGGGGCUGGGCGGCCUUGGCACGUGCCCCAGCACCCUGCGGGCAGGGCGAAGGCCUCUCCCCACCGGCUGCUCAACUCCCCCAGCCGGGUCUCGCCCCCUCCUCACUUUUCUCAGCACUCUGCCCACGCCUGGGGCUCAGCCUCUGGGGGCCACCUUCUGUCCUGCAGCAGAGACGCCCCCACCCCACCCCCAUGGGGGCCGGGGGUGCCCCACAGGGCUGCCUGGGGAGGGGAUGGGACACGAGGGAGCCUCUGCUCGUGGGGCUGGAGGUGGGGAGCAGGCACUGGGCGGGCGAUGCUGUGCGCGGUGUGCUGCUCCGGCUCUGGGAGGGGGAUGCAUCUGCAGCUUGUUGGGGGCAGCUGAAUGCCCCCCAGCCCUGAGAGCUGUGGUCACUGAGGUGCCUGCGGAGCGUGUUGUCACCCGCUGGGUGCUCGUUCGGGUGUUGCACCGUCCCGGCUCAGGGCAGCGCAGGCAGGAGACACGAGGCAGGCAGCUCUGCCCACCGCAGCCACACCUGGGGGUGUCUUCACCGCCCCCCGGGUCGGGGUCCUGCACCACGUCGCUCCAGAGGAUGCACAGGGCCGUGUCCAGGGACCCCCUCCCCCGAGGUGGGCAGUCCCCUGGCUGCAGGGUGAGGAUGCUGAGGGCCCCUCGCCACCCUCGGGCCGCCCCACGGGGCUCCUGCAGCUGGGGGAUGCAUGGGCUGGUGGUGCCAAUGUCACCCCCAGUGGCACUCGGUCCCCCCCAAGGCCUCCCUGGGCUGGGGCCCCCUGGCGUGUGGGCGCGGUGGGAUGCGCAGGAGGGCACGGCGGUGGGACAGCUUCCUGCAUCCCGCUGGCAGCUGGGACACAUGCCCCCCCGGCCGUGUGUGGCGGCAGCGGUGCCGCCUGUUCACCCCUUCGCAGCCCCCCAGCGCCCUGGGCUCGGUGCCACGGGCUCCCACGAGCCACCCUGGGCUGGUAUUUGCCCCGACGCCUCCCUACAAACCUGCUGCCGCCGGUCCCGGCCCCGCCUGCUGCCCUUCCUCGGCAGCGGGAGGAGGAGGAGGCAGCUGUGGGCCAGGGACGGUGCCGGGAGCGGGAGUGGGAGUGGGACACGAGCGGGGCCACUGCACGCGCCGGACGGGACAGGACGGGACAGGAGGGCUCGGCUGUGCCCCCCACCAGGUACCGUGUGGGGUGGGCAGGAGCUGCCCCGGCACGGGGGCUCUGCUGCCCGCAGGUGGCCCCGGCGGCGGAGCCGUGUCCCCUCUGGAGCCAGCCCGGCCGCGCACCUCGCUCCAAGCACCCGGAGGGACCCGGGGGUCCCCACCCACGUGUCACCCCCCGGUCCCCACUCACGAGCGGGGGGCAGAGCUGGCCCAGCUGCUCUGGGGGACCAGGCGUCUGCCCCGGCACGUGCUGUGCCCCCCGCCAGGGCCGGGUGA
ensembl:lncRNA